GAUGAACGCUGGCGGCGUGCCUAAUACAUGCAAGUCGAGCGAACGGACGAGAAGCUUGCUUUUCUGAUGUUAGCGGGGGACGGGUGAGUAACACGUGGAUAACCUACCUAUAAGACGGGGAGAACUUCGGGAAACCGGAGAUAAUACCGGAUAAUAUGUUGAACCGCAGGGUUCAAAAGUGAAAGACGGUCUUGCUGUCACUUAUAGAUGGAUCCGCGCUGCAUUAGCUAGUUGGUAAGGUAACGGCUUACCAAGGCAACGAUGCAUAGCCGACCUGAGAGGGUGAUCGGCCACACUGGAACUGAGACACGGUCCAGACUCCUACGGGAGGCAGCAGUAGGGAAUCUUCCGCAAUGGGCGAAAGCCUGACGGAGCAACGCCGCGUGAGUGAUGAAGGUCUUCGGAUCGUAAAACUCUGUUAUUAGGGAAGAACAUAUGUGUAAGUAACUGUGCACAUCUUGACGGUACCUAAUCAGAAAGCCACGGCUAACUACGUG
rnacentral:rRNA from 1 species